rnacentral:rRNA from 1 species
CCUACGGGUGGCAGCAGUGGGGAAUAUUGCACAAUGGGGGAAACCCUGAUGCAGCGACGCCGCGUGAGUGAAGAAGUAAUUCGUUAUGUAAAGCUCUAUCAGCAGGGAAGAAAAUGACGGUACCUGAGUAAGAAGCCCCGGCUAACUACGUGCCAGCAGCCGCGGGAAUACGUAGGGGGCAAGCGUUAUCCGGAUUUACUGGGUGUAAAGGGAGCGUAGACGGGAGUGCAAGUCUGGAGGUAAAGGCGGGGGCUGAACCCCCGGACUGCUGUGGAAACUGUACGGCUGGAGUGCAGGAGAGGUAAGUGGAAUGCCUAGUGUAGCGGUGAAAUGCGUAGAUAUUAGGAGGAACACCAGUGGCGAAGGCGGCUUACUGGACUGCAACUGACGUUGAGGCUCGAAAGCGUGGGGAGCGAACAGGAUUAGAUACCCUGGUAGUC